AGAUGGUUUUCUUCGAAAUCGGUAGAUUUUCUGAAUAAAAAUCGGUAGUUAUCGGUAGGCUUGAAAAAUUGGCUUGUAAUGAAAUUCUCAACAAAGUUAGACAUAUUUAGUUGAAACAGAAUCAACCUGAAUAAUAUUUAAGAAUAUAGAUACCCAUAGAGCAUGAAAUUCGAAUAGUGAUUUAAAAUCAUGGAAAAUAUUGAACCAACAUAAUACUAAGUACUGAAAUAAUGCAGGUCAUCAUCAUUGUAUUCUAUCGUCAUAUUUCCAGAGAUUAUUUCCAUUGAUAACUCCAGCAGUGUCUAAAAAAUUCAGCCCAAUGAUGUUCAAUCAGUGCGAAAACGCACACAAAUAAACGAAUGCAGUCUCCCACCAACAUGACACAGAGAAUGAACAUGACAAAGAGAAAGCAAGACAAUGAGAGCGACGCCUCGUAGUGUAAUCAACUGUAGCUGAAGUUCUGUUUUGAUCUUCAGUCCGAGCUCGGUGAAUAUGAAUAUGACUUUUUUAAUUUGGAAAUGACUUUUUGUGAUUUUAGGCUAUUUAAGGCACGCAAAUGUCGAUAUGGUGCCCUAAUUCUAGUAAUUAUGUAUGCUUGCUUUAAGUGAAUGGUAUGCAUCAGCAGCACGUUUUGCUUUUAAAUCGUGCUUAAACCAAAAAAUAUCAAUUGAAGAUGAAUAUGCUGACUUUGAAUAUCAGUCCGUGGUAAAAAUUCAGCAGACAGCGAGGUAAUGAAUUUUUUAUCGCUUGAACUUCCGAGAGUGGCACAGGGGUUGUCGAGGCGAUAAUCAAAACAAAAACAAAUCUACGACGCAAGAGCCUCUGGGCGUCGGUUGGGAUGACUGUAAUUUGACAAAUUAAGACACUGAACUCCAGACCUCUACUGGGAUUCUAUCAGGAUUUUAUGCUGAGAUUUCUUAGGAUCCUUUUUUCGAAAGGUUCCUGUUGGGAUUCCUUCAGGAAUUUAUCCAACAGUAUUCCUUACGGAAAUCCUUAUGAUAAUAUUUUUGGUAUUUCUCAAGGAAUGCCUUUUGAGAUUCCUCAGGAAUUUUUGAUAAGCUAACACCAGGAAUUUCUGUGAAGUUUUCUGCAUAAAUUCCUAAUGGGAUUCCUUUUUAGCCCUUCAGGACGCGUGUCCUCAAAGGUUGAUAUUCCUCCAGUAAUUUUUGAUUCUAUGAGAAAUUCUUCCAGGAAUUCAUCUAAGGAUUUCUCUAGGGAUUUUUGUCGACAUUUCUUCAGGGAUUCGGUUUCCACAGGGAUUCCUCUAGAAAUGUAUCUAGAGUUUCGUUUAGGGAUUCCUCCAGGGAUUGCUCCAAGCAUUUUUCAUGAACUCUUUAAGAAUUUCUAUUUUUAUUCCUUCAAGAUUUGCGGUAUUCAUCCAGGUCCAAUCUGUGGUACCUUGUGGUAUGCACAUAAUAAAUUAUUGUAUUACUCUAUUACGUUUAGCGUGUAUGUUUACAUUGAGUAUCUGUCAUAUGUGGAGAUGUUGUUAUUGUUGUCUGGAGUGUGAAUCAUUGUAUGUAAUAUUGAAGUAUCGGUAAUAAAGUGUAUACAAAUAAUGAAUACAGUUGUUGAAUAAUCAUUACAGAGAAAGAUUCUCACAUUGGCGACGAGAACGGUGAACAGUGCAUGUGAAAUUAGUUUAAUUUCGGUUCGGGAAGUGUUGUCUUUGGAAAAAGAAAGAGAUGAGUGGUGUGUGUGGUGCAUGCAGAGUGGUGAUGACCUCCAGGUGAUGACUUGUGAUUGAAUUUCAACAUUGGAAUCAAAAAGGUACAACCAUAAGUAACGGCCAAGUAAUUUACCAAAAUGCCGAGCAGAGAUGGAUGACCAAAUGGAUGACUGUACUACUAAUUCUGAUGUGAGACUAAAGCGAGACGUUCAUAAACUGAGGAGACUAUAAGCGAAAACAACGUGGAGUGACCUUGCUGCGGAUCUGGAGAAAAAACGAGAUGUGGUACCUUGUGGUAUGCACAUAAUAAAUUAUUGUAUUACUCUAUUACGUUUAGCGUGUAUGUUUACAUUGAGUAUCUGUCAUAUGUGGAGAUGUUGUUAUUGUUGUCUGGAGUGUGAAUCAUUGUAUGUAAUAUUGAAGUAUCGGUAAUAAAGUGUAUACAAAUAAUGAA